CCAAACCGACACAGGUGGUCAGGUAGAGAAUACCAAGGCGCUUGAGAGAACUCGGGUGAAGGAACUAGGCAAAAUGGUGCCGUAACUUCGGGAGAAGGCACGCUGACACGUAGGUGAAGUGAUUUACUCAUGGAGCUGAAGUCAGUCGAAGAUACCAGCUGGCUGCAACUGUUUAUUAAAAACACAGCACUGUGCAAACACGAAAGUGGACGUAUACGGUGUGACGCCUGCCCGGUGCCGGAAGGUUAAUUGAUGGGGUCA
rnacentral:rRNA from 1 species